CUAUGCUAGGGCGUGUGGUUUUCACUUUUAUAAUCUCUUCUGUCCAAAAGACUUUGGUUUUUGUUCUCUUAAACUCUGUUUAGUGUUUUGCUGUUUUAAUCCCUUUCCCAUCAAUGCCCUAGUAAAUCGUACGUCUGCUCUGUGGAUCAUUUUGAACAAAAGUUUUAUCUGCUCGCUGAGACUGAUAUCUCUUUUACUUCUUAAGUAAUCCAAAUCGCAUGAUACAUUGAUUUGCUACAUCCUGAC